GGAUGAAGGUUGGGUAACACCAACUGGAGGUCCGAACCCACACCUGUUGAAAAAGGUCGGGAUGACUUGUGCCUAGGGGUGAAAGGCCAAUCAAAACUCGGAGAUAGCUGGUUCUCCGCGAAAGCUAUUUAGGUAGCGCCUCGGACGUAUCCUCUCGGGGGUAGAGCACUGCAUGGAUGAUGGGGGCCCACAGCCUUACUGAGUCUAAGCAAACUCCGAAUACCGAGAAGGACUAUCCGGGAGACACACGGCGGGUGCUAACGUCCGUCGUGGAGAGGGAAACAACCCUGACCAACAGCUAAGGCCCCCAAUUCGUGGCUAAGUGGGAAAGCAUGUGAGACUUCCAAAACAACCAGGAGGUUGGCUUAGAAGCAGCCAUCCUUUAAAGAUAGCGUAACAGCUCACUGGUCUAAACAAGAGGUCUUGCGGCGAAGAUGU
rnacentral:rRNA from 1 species